CCAGUGUUGAUCAGUGGCUGUCCAGGCCUUUCAGAGCCACUGACACGCCGGCAGCACAAUGAUGAUGUCUCUGACUCUACUGCUGGCCACCCUGGGGCUCCUUGUUCAGGGUUCAUCAGGAGAAAACAUUGUGACUCAGUAUCCUGGAGCUGUGUCUGCUGUUCUAGGACAGACUGCCUAUAUCUAUUGCAGAGUCAGAACAUUUUACUCCUGUAAGAUAAACUGGUACGUUCAGAAGCCUGGAGACACUCUAAAACUCCUGAUUAAACAUACUUACACCCGUCAUUCUGGAGUUUCAAAUCGUUUCAGUGGCAGUGAGUUUUCAGGUGAACACGCUCUGAUCAUCGGUAGAGUCCAGGCUGAAGAUGCAGGAGUUUAUCACUGUAAGUGUGAACACACUUACUACAGUGACCGUGUGUACACGUUUGGUGGAGGAACCAGACUGGAAUUUGGAAGUGACGCCCGUCCCACCCUGACAGUGCUGCCCCCCUCCAGUGAGGAGCUGAAGCAGGGGAAGGUCACAGUCCUGUGCCUGGCCAACAAGGGCUUCCCCUCAGACUGGAGUCUGGCCUGGAAGGUGGACGGCAGCAGGAGCAGCAGCUGCAGCUGGGAGGAGAGCAGGAGCCCCGGGGUGCUGGAGGAGGACGGCCUCUACAGCUGGAGCAGCACCCUGAGGCUCCCUGCAGACCAGUGGAGCAAGCUGGGCUCUGUGACCUGUGAGGCCACCCAGGGCUCCAAGACUCCAGUCUCAGAGACACUGAGGAGAGACCAGUGUUCCCAGUCCUGAGCUGACUCACUCAGUUACUGCUACUGGUUUUACUCUCUUCUCUGUCACACUGUCUCUCUCUCUUUCUCAUGUUCUGUCUUUCUCUCUGAUAUGUUUGCUAGUUUUCUCUAAUGUUUGUCAUUUCACAAUUUCCAGAAAAUAAAUAUCUGUUCAUCAAAUAAAUUCUGUUUCCAUCUGUAGUUUUUAAAACAUAAACAGAUGAUCAUGAUACUUUCUCAGUGACAAGAAACACAACCUGAUUGAUCCCUGAAAUAUAAAGUCAGGUAUCAUCAGCAUAGAGAGAUAUCCAGUAACUCUGCACUCACUCUGCAACUCUCUCUCUAUCCCUGCUGUUUGAUUCUAGCAAAACUGAUGUGUUCAAUAUUUCAUGACAAUAAAGACACUUUGAUCACAAGA